UGGCUUGCGAGGCACUGGGCAGGAAUAGCAGCAGCUGGGCUUGGGGGCUCUGGCAGACAUGGCAGAAGUCACUGUGCAGGUGAAUUGCAGCCAGUGGCAUGGAGACAGCUGAAAUAUGGCAUUGCUGCUCAGCGACCUGCCUGGGUCUCAUGGGAGCAUGGUGGCCAGUGUGACCACAUAGUUGGGCUUCCUUGUCAUCAGUGUCCCCUCCUUCCUCCUGCAGCCCUGCGUAAUGCUAGCUAACAGAACCAACCGCAGCAGAAGCAAGAAGCCGCCUUCUUCUCAUCCCUGUGACUGUCUCACCACUGAGCUCUGUGGCCUUUGCGGAAGCCAGUCCUAUGGCCCAAUGGAGUAAAACAGGAUACUGACCCAGCCUGGACUUUCCUAAGAUGUCCAAAGGACUCCAGGUCACCAACUCAUAGUGACUUUCAAAGCACUGCCUCCACCCCCACCCGACUUUGCCUCCUCAGUUCCCAUCUGGUGGCUGCCAGGGCUCCAUCCUUCACAGUUCCACCCUUCUCUUUGAGGUGGAGAAUACUUCCUCUCUGGCCAGGCCUGCCUCUGCCCUCUCCCUAUCUGGCUGCUCCUCUCUCUGUCCCUCUGUACUGUUUCUGUCUAUCCAUGUAUGUGUAUCUCCACCUCAUUGCCAGCUGUCUGUCUUUCCAUCUGUCCCUCUAUCCUUGCAUAAGGCCUAGGGAUGGAUGGCAGACCCUUCCCCCUUCAAGAGAAGCAGUGGAGGGUCUGAGGGAGGAGAAAAUGGGGGUCACUAACACUCAUUAAUCCUCUCUGUCACAAAUGCAUUAGAGACAGAAGUGCCAGGAAGAGGCAGGUCCUCCAAGAGGUUGGGGGGAGGCUGGAGGCUGCUCAGCCAGAGGUAGCUGAGCCAAAGCAGGAGGCAGAGCCCAGAACCUCAGAGGCGCUGGGCUGAGCUGAUCCUUCUGGCUUUCUCCUGUCCCCUGAUGCUUUGCUCCAGCUGGCCACAUUGUUCACCUUCUCUAGGUUGAGUGACAAGAAGGCGUGUCUGUCACCUUUCCAUCGGGAGCAUAUCUGCAAACAUGAGGGGACACCCUGAGAGACCUUUGGGCUGCCAGGGCCUGAGGAAGAGCAGAAGUCCACCUGCAUGGUGGUACGGAGGUUCCGGAGGGCUCCAGGGCUGUAUCCCGUGGACAGGAGCCUGGGGGGCCUGGCUGUCCCAGUAGCUUGAUGGCGUCAUAGGGCCUCAUCUCUCUCCUCUUUUUCUGACACUCAGAGAAAAUGCACAGAAUUGUUUGCAAGGCCCCCAAGUCCUUGAGCCCUCUGAUGAUUGCCUCUGAAUAUUGACAUGAGUUUAAUAUACUGUACAAUUUUGAUACAAGGCUGAUUAAUCAAUGACUUCAAUAAUCCCUGUGAGUAGGGAACAAUAAAGUAGAUGUAUUGCCUUAGAAUUAUUUACAUUUUAUUUGCCA
rnacentral:lncRNA from 1 species